rnacentral:rRNA from 1 species
AAUUCGAGGCAACGCGAAGAACCUUACCAGGUCUUGACAUCCCCUGACAACCCAAGGAGGAUUUGGGGCCGUUCCCCCGUUCGGGGGGACAGGGUGACAGGUGGUGCAUGGUUGUCGUCAGCUCGUGUCGUGAGAUGUUGGGUUAAGUCCCGCAACGAGCGCAACCCUCGCCUCUAGUUGCCAGCAUUCGGUUGGGCACUCUAGAGGGACUGCCGGCGACAAGUCGGAGGAAGUGGGAUGACGUCAAAUCAUCAUGCCCCUUAUGACCUGGGCUACACACGUGCUACAAUGGGCGGUACAAAGGGCUGCGAACCCGCGAGGGGGAGCGAAUCCCAAAAAGCCGCUCUCAGUUCGGAUUGCAGGCUGCAACUCGCCUGCAUGAAGCCGGAAUCGCUAGUAAUCGCGGAUCAGCAUGCCGCGGUGAAUACGUUCCCGGGCCUU